CGAAAAAUUUCUUUUAUCCAUAAGUUGUUCCAAUUACAAUCACGAAAAGUUGUAGGAAGAAAAUUACGAGUGCUACGAGCUAGAAGAAGUUGACGACUUCUAAUUUCUGGAAGAAAAUGGUCAGAGGAAAUGGAAACGAAUUGAAGGAAAACGAAACAAAAAUUGAGGGGGAAGACUUGUGCAUUUUGCUGAGCCAGUAAAGUGCUCAGGAAAUAAAUGAGUGGAAGG